rnacentral:rRNA from 1 species
GAUGAACGCUAGCUACAGGCUUAACACAUGCAAGUCGAGGGGCAGCAUGGUCUUAGCUUGCUAAGGCUGAUGGCGACCGGCGCACGGGUGAGUAACACGUAUCCAACCUGCCGUCUACUCUUGGCCAGCCUUCUGAAAGGAAGAUUAAUCCAGGAUGGCAUCAUGAGUUCACAUGUCCGCAUGAUUAAAGGUAUUUUCCGGUAGACGAUGGGGAUGCGUUCCAUUAGAUAGUAGGCGGGGUAACGGCCCACCUAGUCAACGAUGGAUAGGGGUUCUGAGAGGAAGGUCCCCCACAUUGGAACUGAGACACGGUCCAAACUCCUACGGGAGGCAGCAGUGAGGAAUAUUGGUCAAUGGGCGAUGGCCUGAACCAGCCAAGUAGCGUGAAGGAUGACUGCCCUAUGGGUUGUAAACUUCUUUUAUAAAGGAAUAAAGUCGGGUAUGCAUACCCGUUUGCAUGUACUUUAUGAAUAAGGAUCGGCUAACUCCGUGCCAGCAGCCGCGGUAAUACGGAGGAUCCGAGCGUUAUCCGGAUUUAUUGGGUUUAAAGGGAGCGUAGAUGGAUGUUUAAGUCAGUUGUGAAAGUUUGCGGCUCAACCGUAAAAUUGCAGUUGAUACUGGAUGUCUUGAGUGCAGUUGAGGCAGGCGGAAUUCGUGGUGUAGCGGUGAAAUGCUUAGAUAUCACGAAGAACUCCGAUUGCGAAGGCAG